ACGAACGCUGGCGGCGUGCUUAACACAUGCAAGUCGAACGGUGAAGCGCCUUCCUUUUUGGUGGGUGUGGAUGAGUGGCGAACGGGUGAGUAACACGUGAGUAACCUGCCCCCUUCUUCUGGAUAACCGCAUGAAAGUGUGGCUAAUACGGGAUAUUCUGGGUCUGUCGCAUGAUGGGUCUGGGAAAGAUAUUGUUUCGGUGGGGGAUGGGCUCGCGGCCUAUCAGCUUGUUGGUGGGGUGAUGGCCUACCAAGGCGGUGACGGGUAGCCGGCCUGAGAGGGUGGACGGUCCCACUGGGACUGAGACACGGCCCAGACUCCUACGGGAGGCAGCAGUGGGGAAUAUUGCACAGUGGGCGCCAGCCUGAUGCAGCGACGCCGCGUGAGGGAUGGAGGCCUUCGGGUUGUGAACCUCUUUCGCCAGUGAAGCAGGCCUGCCUCGUUUGUGGGUGGGUUGACGGUAGCUGGAUAAGAAGCGCCGGCUAACUACGUG
rnacentral:rRNA from 1 species